CAUAUUUGGGAUUGUUUGAGAAAUAAGCUAACUUACUUUGAUCCAAGCUUGUGAAUAUCUGUGUAGCUUUUUUUUUUUUUUUUAUUUUUUUUUUUUUUUUAAUAAAUGACAUCAUUCAAUGAAAAUGGUUGGAUCCUAGUUGUUCACACUUUGAUGACCCAUGCCCUUAUAAUGGAGGACCACACUCUUGGAAAAAUUAUCUAAAUUCUCUCGGCGGUGGGUUGUGCGUACAAUCUCAAACUUAUGAGUGGAGUAUAUACGAUAGAUGUGGUGGUCAAAAUGGCCAUUGGGCUAAUUUUGCUUAUGUGUCCUUCCCUUCCCCAAACCCCCACUAUGACGAUCCUAUUUUUAGUUUUGAUGAUUAUAGGGCUAUGUAAGUAGAAGAAUUCUCAGAUGCUCAAAAUAAGAGGAUCAUGCUCAUGACGGAGGCCAUUCUUGAAAUGAAGAAAAGCGAAACUUGGCCCUCGAGGAUUUGAAACAAGCUCCAAAUCGGAAUGAUGCGGCUAUUCACACCUUGGAAGAUCAAAUUAUUACACAUUGUACUUUCAUGUUAGAAUGCGUCGUAAGUGAAUCAAUAUGAGUUGGAGAGGUUAAGGACUUUUACAAAGAUAAUGAUGGGUUAAAACAAGUGUUAAGGAAGUAUCGUGAGGGUUGAAGGUUAAACGAAUCAAGGAUGUUAUAACCCGUACUUUCGGGUAAAACUAGGAGUGCUUAAUAUUAUAAGGAGGUCAUGUUUUAAGGUAAUUGAAUCAUAUAAUAUUCGUAUGUUAAGUUUUGAAGUCAAACAAUUUGUAAAACAUAAGUCGGCAAAAGUUAUCAUAAGUUACGUUCAUAAUUUAGUGAAAUUUGGGUCUAAUGUCACCGAGAUUUUAUCCCAAUACAGUUGGAUUUACGGGGUGAUCCGCCCACCAAAUUGAAGGUCUAAGAAUCUAGUGUCCAACACAUUAAACCGUUUGUCGAUACGACGUUGGAGUAGAGAGAUAUUCACAUUUUUGCAAAAUUGCACAGGCAGCCCCUUUGGGACCCAGUUGAGGCGGUGGAAGUUUCUUGGUUCUCUUUAAUGCGGUGGCCUUCUAUUUUGCAUCAUUUUUUACCAUACCAGAUCCUAGACAACCCCUAAACUCUCUCUAAACAUUCCCUCAUGAUUCAAGAGUGAAUCUAAGGCCAAACUACGUAAGUAUAUCAUCAAAAUCUCAUAGAACUAGCGGGGAGUGCUUCUAUGGCGUUGUUGUUGCGUUGAGGGUUCCUUUAAGUUGAAGAAAUCUUUGGUUGAAGGUUAUUGUUUAUGUUUGAGACUUAGGCGUGAACAAGGUUGAUUCCGGCUUGAUACGUCGUGGUUCGAUAUAAAGUAUGUUAAGGCUAAAUUUCCUUCUUUUGGCAUGUUCUAAAUUGAACGAAGCAUAGCCGAACGUCCCUUUCCAAAGAUGGAUCUGCUCUUAGUAAUAGAUCGUUAUGAUCAUUUUUCACAUCUAUGAUUCAUAAGUACCUUAUGUCUUGUUUUCCUUGGUUGAUAAUGGAAAGUAUGAUGUCAUGUUAGUCACAUAAUGAUAGUCGGAGGUGUAAUGACCUUACGUCACUCUGUUACACUCAUAAGGUGUUCUAAUGAUCAUCAUGCAUCUAUAUAUGUAUAUAUGUAUCUUGAUAGCGUUAUAUAUGCGUAUAUGUAUAGUACGUAACACCACUGAUCAGUUGGUUAUUAUGAUGAAGAUGGUGAUGCCCACAGAGGCCCGAUGACGCUAUAUGCACAUAUAUAUGGUAUAAGUGUCUUGAUGGCGUUAUAUACACGUAUACGGUAUUUAUGCAUAUCAUGGAUCACAAUGGCAAUCUGAGUUAAAGGUUUUGGUAGACAGAUUGACGGACCUACUCAGAAGGUGGUUUGGCUCAGCGGUGGAUUGGCGCACUCCGUUUGUUCUGGAGUUGCCAUUUGAGUCGGUAUGAGCCUAUGUAUAAGAUAUAGGUAUGGCGGGGCCCUGUCCCGACUUUAUGACGAUUAUGCUAUUCUUAGAGGCUUGUGGACAGAUGUCCUAUGUGUAAAUGAUUUUGUGCGACCUUGUCGGCCCAUCUAUAUACUUAUGUGUGUCAUUUUGGGAUGUAAGUAAUCGUAUAGCUUACUAUAUUUAUUCAGAAUGAUACAUGGUGGCCUUGACGGCUCGUUUUCAUAUUAAGUUGGUUGUUGACUAACAUACGUGGGUGCUCGAUAAGUAAGGUCGGGUGCCGGUCUUGCCCCUCCGGUUUGGGGUGUGACACAAAUGAAAUCAUUGGUGAGGCUCAUAACGCUCACCAACUUGAGAGUGUUAAAAGAGGUCAAGAAAAUUCCAAAUUCGAGAAAUGAGCUUCACGGCGAGGAAUCAAGAAUUGAACAGCCGCCAACCAACUACAUGCUCAUUAGAGAUGCAAAAAAAGAAAAAGAAUUAGAGUCAAUCAACGUCAUGAAAAAUAUGGUUGAUGAUGACUCUUGUUCAGGGGGAAAAAGAGGAUAUCAACAUCCAGACAAGAUUGCAAGUUGGGAGCGUAAAAGUCUCAUUCCAACCAGUUUUCAACAUUGGAUUUAUUUGGUGAUAUGGGAAUUGAACCACAUAAAUCCAUGUUGGAUGGCGACGAAGAAAGACAAGAGUUGUCAUCUUGAAAUUUGAGAACCCAAGAAGGCAAAAUGACAUUCCUCACAUGAAAGACUAGAAGUGCAAAAUGAAGAAAUUGGUGUUUGGCUUGUUCAUAUACAUACCACCCCCACCGCUCAUGGUUACAAACUUGAGUCCAAGUUAGGUGCCCAAUUCAUAAGUUCCAAAUGGA